rfam:Glycine max cultivar Williams 82 chromosome 18, whole genome shotgun sequence.
CAGUUAAGUGAUGACGUGGCAGAAGAAGUCCCACGUCUUCACGCCUUGUCACGGACACCUCAUUGCCAUGUUAGUACCUUCAAUGAUAUGGCAACAAUGUGUUAGUGAUAAGGCAUGAUGAUGUGACACUCUGUCUGCCAUGUCAUCACUUAACGGAA